CUUUGGUCUUGAAUUCACCAUUUCCCCCUCUAGCUGUUUCCAUCAGUGCCCAAGGGUUUGUUUCCCUUUCCUUCUUCCAUUCUGCCAUUUUAAACAUUUCUCCUGUGUUUUUGUGGGAAUUCUGGGAAGCCCUCAGGUUGUCUGAUAAAUGCUGUCCAGUAAAUAUAUUCUCUUGCCUUCUGCGAUGCAAAAUUACUUUCCUGCUUGUCUUCCCAUCGAAGAAAUGCCUCUGCAGUGGGUUUGGAUGGCAAAUCUCACCUGGAAACUGUUGCUAAGUGAAACUUACUUUUGUUGAUGAAUAGUUUUUCUUGGAGCAUCUAUCAGUGGACAAAUAUCAAAAUCAAUGACUGAACAUCAGAUGAAGCAUCCGUGGAGGGAGGACAGAUUGUAUUAAUAUGGAUGCCAUGCAUGAGAAGAAUAUUAGAGAAUAAUGAAGGUAAAUACAGAAACAACUGAGGUGGUCACAGGUUUGUGGUCUCAUGGGUUUAUUUUCACUGUGCAUAAAAACAUGAAAACUCUGUUUUCAGUCCUGCCUGGUAAGAUAUCAUAGAAGAUGGAGGUGUGAAGAGCUUAGUGUGGAAAUGGAAUCAAGAGCAGUGUCCAGCUGUCCUGAACAUUAGUACUGACCCUUAAAUUAAGAUAUUGAUUCAGCACAUGAACUUAGCAGUGUGGCACUGCAGCUGCUGGAGUUGGAGUUCAAAACACAUCCCCCCUUACAGGACACCUGGCCUGGGCUGUUUUUUUCUGCUUGCACAGUCUCUAAGUUUGGAAGCAAUACUGCAGUGACUUAGGACAGACAGGCUAGGGACACAGCCCAAAUCUGUGCCAGGGGAAGCUCAGGCUGGAUAGAAGGAAUAAUAUUUUCAUUAAAAGGGAUGUUAAAUACUGGAAUGAAUGGCCCAGGGAGGUGACAAAUUUGCCAGCCCUAGAAGGGCUGAAGGAACAAGAGGAAAUCUCACCUAGUGCUGUGGGCUGGUUGAUGUGGUGGUGAUCUGCCAGAGGCUGAGCUCAAUGACCUCGGAGGCCUUUUCCAACCUUAGUGAUUCUGGGAUUCUGUGACAGUGAUCACUGUAGGGAUAUAAUGCCCUCCUUUCAGGCAUUGUUAACAUUUAUUCAGUGUUUAAAAUACUUUUUCUGUUUGUCUACAGAAUAAUAAAUCAGUGCUGAGCAGUGUUUGUUCA
rnacentral:lncRNA from 1 species